UCCGCAGGCGGGCAAUUAAGUCAGGGGUGAAAUGGUGCGGCUCAACCGUAGCACUGCCCUUGAUACUGGUUGUCUUGAGUCAUAGUGAAGUGGCCGGAAUAUGUAGUGUAGCGGUGAAAUGCAUAGAUAUUACAUAGAACACCGAUUGCGAAGGCAGGUCACUAACUAUCGACUGACGCUGAUGGACGAAAGCGUGGGGAGCGAACAGGAUUAGAUACCCUGGUAGUC
rnacentral:rRNA from 1 species